rnacentral:rRNA from 1 species
GCGUUGUCCGGAAUUAUUGGGCGUAAAGAGCUCGUAGGCGGUCUGUCGCGUCGGUCGUGAAAACUUGGGGCUUAACCCUGAGCUUGCGGUCGAUACGGGCAUGACUGGAGUUCGGCAGGGGAGACUGGAAUUCCUGGUGUAGCGGUGAAAUGCGCAGAUAUCAGGAGGAACACCGGUGGCGAAGGCGGGUCUCUGGGCCGAUACUGACGCUGAGGAGCGAAAGCGU